UAAGGAAUAUUGGUCAAUGGACGCAAGUCUGAACCAGCCAUGCCGCGUGGAGGAUGAAGGUCCUCUGGAUUGUAAACUUCUUUUAUCUGGGACGAAACACUUCUUUUCUAAGAGGCCUGACGGUACCAGAUGAAUAAGCACCGGCUAACUCCGUGCCAGCAGCCGCGGUAAUACGGAGGGUGCAAGCGUUAUCCGGAUUCACUGGGUUUAAAGGGUGCGUAGGUGGGCAGAUAAGUCAGUGGUGAAAUCUUCCGGCUUAACCGGGAAACUGCCGUUGAUACUAUUUGUCUUGAAUAUUGCGGAGGUAAGCGGAAUAUGUCAUGUAGCGGUGAAAUGCUUAGAUAUGACAUAGAACACCCAUUGCGAAGGCAGCUUACUACACAAUCAUUGACACUGAGGCACGAAAGCGUGGGUAGCGAACA
rnacentral:rRNA from 1 species